rnacentral:rRNA from 1 species
UACGUAGGGGGCAAGCGUUGUCCGGAAUUAUUGGGCGUAAAGCGCGCGCAGGUGGUGGAUUAAGUUGUGGGUAAAAGGCAAUGGCUCAACCAUUGUAAGCCUGCAAAACUGGUUCACUUGAGUGCAGGAGAGGGGAGUGGAAUUCCCGGUGUAGCGGUGGAAUGCGUAGAGAUCGGGAGGAACACCAGUGGCGAAGGCGACUCUCUGGCCUGUAACUGACACUGAGGCGCGAAAGCGUGGGGAGCGAACAGG